rnacentral:rRNA from 1 species
UACCUGGUUGAUCCUGCCAGUAGUCAUAUGCUUGUCUCAAAGAUUAAGCCAUGCAUGUCUAAGUACAAGCCUCAUUAAGGUGAAACCGCGAAUGGCUCAUUAAAUCACACCUAAUGUACUGGAUAGUCCCAUUUACUUGGAUAACUGCGGUAAUUCUGGAGCUAAUACAUGCGAAAAGCCCCGACGCAAGGAGGGGUGCUUUUAUUAGAUCAAAACCAAACGGCUUCGGCCGUCCCGACUGGUGAUUCUGAAUAACUUUGAGCAGAUCGCACGGCCUUUGCGCCAGCGACGUAUCCUUCCAAGGUGUGCCCUAUCAACUUUCGACUGUGGUAUAGACGUCCACAGUGGUUAUGACGGGUAACGGGGAAUCAGGGUUCGAUUCCGGAGAGGGAGCCUGAGAAACAGCUACCACUUCCAAGGAAGGCAGCAGGCGCGCAAAUUACCCACUGGUCGACGACCGAGGUAGUGACGAAAAAUAACGAUACCGGUCUUCAUCCGAGGCCCGGUAAUCGGAAUGAGUACACUUUAAAUCCUAUAACGAGGAUCCAUUGGAGGGCAAGUCUGGUGCCAGCAGCCGCGGUAAUUCCAGCUCCAAUAGCGUAUAUUAAUGCUGUUGCGGUUAAAAAGCUCGUAGUUGGAUCUCGGCACGCAGGGGGCGGUUCGCUUUGAUGCGAUACUUGCCCCAUUUGCGUGUGUUUUUGGCGGAGGCGGUCGGGUGCUCUUCAUCAAGUGUCCGUUCGUGCCGUCAGUUUUACUUUGAAAAAAUUAGAGUGCUCAAAGCAGGCUUUACAAGCUUGAAUAUUCGUGCAUGGAAUAAUGGAAUAGGAAGUCGUUUCUAUUUUGUUGGUUUUCGGAAAUCGACUUAAUGAUUAAUAGGGACAAUCGGGGGCAUUAGUAUUCAGACGACAGAGGUGAAAUUCUUGGACCGUCUGAAGACUAACUGCUGCGAAAGCGUUUGCCAAGAGUGUUUUCAUUAAUCAAGAACGAAAGUUAGAGGUUCGAAGGCGAUCAGAUACCGCCCUAGUUCUAACCAUAAACGAUGCCAGCUAGCGAUCCUCCGACGUUUUCUUUUGUAGGCUCGGGGGGAAGCUUCCGGGAAACCAAAGCUUUUGGGUUCCGGGGGAAGUAUGGUUGCAAAGCUGAAACUUAAAGGAAUUGACGGAAGGGCACCACCAGGAGUGGAGCCUGCGGCUUAAUUUGACUCAACACGGGAAAUCUCACCAGGCCCGGACACUGGAAGGAUUGACAGAUUGAGAGCUCUUUCUCGAUUCGGUGGGUGGUGGUGCAUGGCCGUUCUUAGUUGGUGGAGUGAUUUGUCUGGUUAAUUCCGAUAACGAACGAGACUCUGUCCUGCUAAAUAGUUUCUGCAUCUCUUUUGUGCAGGUAUCUUCUUAGAGGGACUGGCAGCGUUUAGCUGCACGAGAUUGAGCAAUAACAGGUCUGUGAUGCCCUUAGAUGUUCUGGGCUGCACACGCGCUACACUGAAGGGAUCAGCGUGUUCACCUUUUCCGAGAGGGUAAGGGUAACCCGCUGAACCCCCUUCGUGGUAGGGAUCGGGGCUUGAAAUUAUUCCCCGUGAACCAGGAAUUCCCAGUAAGCGCAAGUCAUAAGCUUGCGUUGAUUACGUCCCUGCCCUUUGUACACACCGCCCGUCGCUACUACCGAUUGAACGUUUUAGUGAGGUUUUUGGACUGGCUGCGUGGUCUUAACGGUCUGCUGCAUGCCGGGAAGUCAACCAAACUUGAGCGUUUAGAGGAAGUAAAAGUCGUAACAAGGUUUCCGUAGGUGAACCUGCGGAAGGAUCAUUA